UACUGUUCUAUUGAACUAUAUGUCUUUUCUUGUGUCAAUACCACACCAUUUUAACUAAUUCUUUAUAAUAAGUCUUGAUAAGAGGUCAAAUCCUCCAGCUUCAUUUUUUAGAGGUAUUUGCUUGUUUUGCUUCAUUUUACCUUCAAUGUCUGUUUGUUAUUCUGCGCACUCCAGUAGUUCAGGCUAAAAUAGUUGACAACUCUUUCUCUGUUCCUCCAGCUCCCGCCUUCCAGAUCUUCAUGGCACCAACCCUCCCAUGCUCACGGAAGCCCCAAUUCCUAUAUGAAGUUCCUAAAAACACUUUAUUACAGAAAAUACUUGCAGCACCUCUGUUUUCAUGAUAAGAAAACAAACUGAUUCAUCUGAAAACAUCUUUGUUCUUCCUUCAUUCUUGGAGGAUGUUUUUACUGAGUAGAGAAUAUUAGAAUAAGCAUGGCUAUUUUAAAGUCUGUGUCUGAUAACUCCAAUAUCUAGAUACCUGCACAGAAGUUUUGUUCAAAUGAUUGAUGCCUGCAGUAGCUCUGAGAAGGUCAAGGCUACACCAUGGAAGUUUGACUUAGAUGAACUAGAUGCGACGCCCUGAACAAUUAGGCUCUGACUUUGAAGCUCAGGUUCCAGGUAAAAGAGCAGAAGUUCAGAGCGCUUCAAAAAUUUCCUGUUGCAGUUCAGAGUCCUGGAAAACACACUCUGAGAUUCUGAGAUAAGCGUGCAGGAGUUUUAUUGGGGAAUGCUCUCAGAACAAUCCCCGUGAAGGAGCAGGAAAAGCAAGUUUGGACUGGAGAACUUUGAUGCAGUUGCAAAAGCAACCUCAGAUCCACAGGGGGCGCUCUGAAACAGAGAUGUGCCAGAUGAAGGCAAGGGUGACCAGGCGUUUGUAUCCUCAUGGGAACCAGUCGUUGGUGUGGAUUUCUCCCUAGAGAGGUUUUCAUUUUGGGCGUGGGAGCUUCCUUCAGUAGAAAACAAUUUUCAGAGAGAAACAAAGCCGUGAGCUGUCAGCAGUGGGCCCUGUUGGCAGCUGAAUGGAUGAGGACCUCAGUCCUGCAGGGGGAUCUGAGUGAUGCAUCACAGCAGCCUCUACCCAAACAUCACGGAGAUGGGAAGUGGUGGAGCCCGAACAGUCCUACAGAUCCGCCUGGUUCCAAGGCUCAUGCUUCCAUUCACUAUCCUACACAUCAUGGCAUUAAGUGAAACAGCAUAUAUACACUUCAUGAGACAUGUAAGUGCUAAUUACAUGUUGAUUUCUGUGUCAAUCUGCGUCCAUUCAGGAGACAGAAACCACAUUGUGAUUUAAACAGGGGAAGUUUAAUACAAAGAGUUAUUAAGCUAUGAUAAAAGAGUAACUGUAAGACGUAAAUGAGCUCUAGAGGAUACGAUAGGGCUGACGGAGAAUGAGCAAGGAAGGUCAAACGUGGAAGGAAGGGUCCCCGCCUCAGGGGCUUCAGAUCUCACUGGAGAAGCCGCUGUUGCAGCCCACUGAUGUCACAGAACUCUACUGGUUUGCCCAGGCCCGAGCUGGUCUGCAGUCACUGGGCAAGCAGGAAGCAGCCCUCAGAGGCACAGCCAGGCCACAGUUAGCGGGUGGUUGUGCAGGCAAGUGGAGGGAGUGCACGCUACGGUGCAGACAGGACACGUGGUGUUCAUGUUGGGAGGGCCACAGCGUCACAAGAGUGGUGGGAGACAAAGCUCUAGCGAGGAAGGCAAGCAGAGGGGUCAGGGCACCAGUGUGGACAGGAGGCCUGAAGCUCAUGGAGUUGGUGUGGAGGGAGCUAUGGUACGGGACCACCACACUGGGCCAGGGCUGUGAGGUUGCCAAGAGACUGCACGUUCCUCGUGUUCUGGAACAGGAGCAUCACGGGAUGUCCCCACAUCCACACCACUGCCCUCCCCUAACCUCCCACCAAUGCUACAACCUGCUGGGGCAGCAGCUGGAAGCAGCAGUGGCGCCCCCUUCCUCCUGCCAUGCCUCUCCAGCGCUCCCUACUGAGAAAGCUUAACAUGCCCACUGCUAACAAGAAAGGCUUAAUCACGUCUGUUACCCCAGAGCGUGUGUUAAAGAGGGAAUUCGGAGGUGAGAGGCAAUAUAUUGAUAACCGGUGCAAGGAAACAGGCAAACGUUAUCCUGGAGUAGUCCUCCAACAAAUCAGAAAUGAGCGCUAGGGGCUAAAUUAUGUCCCCCCAAAUUCAUAUGUUGAAGGCCUAACCCCCAGUGUUCGGAAUGGAGCUGUGUUUGGAGGCAGGGCCUUUACAGAGGUAAUUAAGUUAAAAUAAGGCCCUUAGAGUGGGCCCUAGUCCAACAUGGCUGGUGUCCUUAUAAGAAGAGGAAAUCUGGACACGUAAAUAGACACCAGCAAUACACGCACAGAGAGAAGACCAUGUAAGGACACAGCAAGAAGGAGCCAUCUGCAAGCUAAGGGAAGAGUCCUCAGAGGAAACCAGCCUUGCCCACACCUUGAUCUUGGACUUCCAGCCUCCAGAACUGUGGAGAAUAAAUUUCCGCUGUCUAAGCCACCCAUUCUGUGGUAUUUUGUUAUGGCAUUCCUACAAGGUAAUAUACAAGGAGAGACAAUUUUAAGAAAACAAAACCAAAAAACUAAAUAUAAAGUAAAAACCCACCAACCAACCAAGACUGUGUCUCUUUCCAAUGAUUCAUGGCUGUCCCUCUAUCUACUGAUAACCUACCAGCAGUAGCUGUUUGCCUUCAGAACAUAAUUUCAGAUGACCUUUGACAAGAUCUAAAAACCUGUCUGGCUUGUCUUACCUGAGCCCAGAUCACAGGCAUGAAGGGAAAGCAAGUUUUCUGUGUGCUGGAGAGUCAGCGAAGGCCAGUUGGACCAAGACCGUUUCUGGAACAUUGGUAGGAAUGGUCGGUAGAAUCACCUGUGGGCUGCUUGAAGCUACAUCCUAACAGAUAAUAAGGCCACUGCUCUUUUUCCUCCCAGCAUCUCCCCCUGCUUAUGUCCACCAUAGAAUUGACUGGUCUUGUGUCAGAAGCAGGAGAAAAGGAGAGAGGUGCACGCCAACUUAAAACUCUCAGAUAAAAUUCAGUACUUACAACUUAUAAAGAGCUUGUUGCUGCAUAUAAAUUAAGGUAUUUUUCUUUUAUUUGAAUAUUAUGUCUUAUUCCUACACAUGAGGCCUUAUACUAAGUUAAUGUCAGGAAAAUGUGAAACCCAAUGUACUAGAAUGCUAUGUUGGCUCACAGAAUUCUGAAAAUGAGGUUCCGAACUAAUGUCCCCGGGAUUUGUAGCCCAAAAUAGCUUUGGUCCUGCUUAUCAAAGGCUGAAUUGGGUUUUUCUGAAGGCUGUUCAGCUCCCACACAGCCCUUUAUGCUUGCCCUGACCCUCGGCCCGUUGGAUGGCAUGCCCUGGUCUCUGAGCUGGUCCUGGAUGCUCUUCCUGGCUCCAACAGCACCCUUCCUAGGACCUUGCCCAGAAUCCCCACAUGCUGACAUGAUGUGGUUUUGCAGGCAUGCUCUAUCCAAGUCAGGAUAGUUCCCAGGUCAGUGUCACGCAGACACCUUAGAGGCACCAGCCACAUGGCCCGCUCUUCAUGGCUUUGAUCCCCAAGUCAGCACCUUGACCUGCAAAGCAUCUUUCAUCUGCUCCAUUUUGCUUUCAACAAGAGGAGUCAGUCGUGCCCUGGACUUCUCCCUCAAACCAUCUCCGGCUCGCCGCUCCACUCAACGAGGGAACAAAGCAGUUAAAGCGCCUGGCACACAGUGAGCGUUACAUAAGCGUUAGUCAAAUAGAAGUGAACCCCUGCAGAGCUUGAGUGAGGACAUUGCCCGGAGGGUGCUGCAUCGCCAAAGAAGUGAACCAGAACCUACCUUGGCAGAGGACGCCACAAAAGCCCCUGUGUCUCCUUAUCCGUGGUUUAUGCUCUUUUCACUCCUGGCUUCCACCCUUGGUUGGAGGCUGUUUGCAACAUGAAGACAAAUAUCGAAUAGGAUGCAACUGAAAUUGAAUGGAAAUUGAGUAGGAAAAUUCAAUGCUAUUAGGCACCAAAGAAGAACACAGGCAGAUGGUGCCAAGGGCACCAGAAGCAGGCUGGAUUUGAAGGACUGGGAGAGUCCCCAUGAUCCCUUCCGUGGACAGUCA